CUGCAGGCUUUCUUUGAUGUGUUGGCACACCGAUCUGAAUUUCAGGAAGCAAUUUCACCCAUUGCAGAGAAGUGGCUGUCAUCUGUUACAGAAAUGUUAUUAUUUAGAGCACAUUAACUUACGUAAAAUUUACAUUCAAUAUUGCAGUUAGGAAACAUUCAGUCUGUGUCAUUUGUUUUGCUCCUAGGCAGAUAAUUUUUUUUGAGAUGCCAGAGUAAUUUUCCAAGUAAAGUAUGGAAAUCUUAGCAAUGUAUAUUAUCAUAUAUUUUACUCUAACUUAUAACAUUAACCAUUUAUUUCUGGAAAAUGUAACAUUAUACAGAAAAAAAAGGCAAACAAGAAUGUCCAAGCAAAGAAAAGUGAGAAGAAAACAGGAACAAAAAAACCCCAGGCCCCAAAAUGGAAGAUAUCUCCAGAAGAAUUUCUUCAACUUCAAAAAGAAGCAGAUGUUCUGAAAGAGGAGAACAAUAACCUUAAGGAGCAACUGCAAAGUGCUUUAUUGGAAUCUGAGAAGAACAAGAGAGAGCUUAAGUGGGCUCUAAAGUUUCAGAUGGAAUCUCUUCGGAGUGAAUCAAAGAGCAAGGUAUCGGUGGGAAUGGGGGCCAGUAAGAGACAACUUAGAGGUGACACCUCAUUUAGGAGAGACUCAAAGGCAGCAUUCAUUAAACCCUCGCUUGGACAAAUGGCAAAUGAUCGCAUCUUCGAACAAUAAAAGAUGCAGUUAACCAGCAUAGAGAAGAGUUUGUGCUACAACACCUAAUUGCUUCUUAUUUUACUCACACACUGCCACUUCCGGCUUCUUGCUGGUUAGUUGGAUGUAAGGGUCACAUGGUCUUUUCUGCUUGGGCUGUCUUUCACCUUCAGUCCUUGGAUCUCUGUCUUUCAAGUGGCUAGGAUGACAGGCAUGAGCCACCAGAGCCCAGCCUCAUAUAUUAGUUUUAAAUGAUGAUUUUAAUACCUAUGAUUUGAAAUCUAGAAAAGUUAGGAUUUCAAAGACUAAAAAAUAUGCUGGACAAAAUUAAAUAUGAAUGGAAAACCAUGUGGAAAAAUACUUAAAAUAUUUUAGUUAUUUAUUUUUUGUGCAGUAGUUUCAGAAGCUUCUGUUUUUUUUUAUCAAAGGUUUUCUGCAGGUAUGUUUAGGCUUUUGAAAUUUAAUAAUUUCCCCAAAUUCAAGCCCUUUGUUUAAUUUGUUUCUAGGCCAAAAGUAUGUGUAACAUUACACACACGCAGGUAUGCACUUCAUAGAUAGCUCUAUGUUCUUGCUACAUUUUGCUUUUCUAAAUCCAUGGAACAUAUUAGUGAUACCAGUACCCAUUGAAGUAUCAAUUAAACCAAUGACUUUCCCUAGCUUCCUCCAAGUAGUACAUAAAAAUUGAGAGUUAGUAUGGGCAUAAAGACAUAAAUGUAUGCCGAUACCUAUAGUUCUGCUAGACAGAUGUCACAGAAAACAAAUUGUGACAUGUACUUUCUUAAAGACAAGAAGCUGAAAUGAAUGAACAUCAAUUUAGAA